ACGAACCGUGCGAACGUUGUUCGGAAUCACUGGGCUUAAAGGGCGCGUAGGCGGGUCAGCAAGUCCGGGGUGAAAUCUUUCGGCUCAACCGGAAAAGUGCCUCGGAUACUGCUGGUCUUGAGGGAGGUAGGGGUUUGUGGAACUUCUGGUGGAGCGGUGAAAUGCGUUGAUAUCAGAAGGAACGCCGGUGGCGAAAGCGACGAACUGGACCUCUUCUGACGCUGAGGUGCGAAAGCUAGGGGAGCAAACGGGA
rnacentral:rRNA from 1 species